rnacentral:rRNA from 1 species
UACGGAGGGGGCUAGCGUUGUUCGGAAUUACUGGGCGUAAAGCGCACGUAGGCGGCGAUUUAAGUCAGAGGUGAAAGCCCGGGGCUCAACCCCGGAAUUGCCUUUGAGACUGGAUUGCUAGAAUCUUGGAGAGGCGAGUGGAAUUCCGAGUGUAGAGGUGAAAUUCGUAGAUAUUCGGAAGAACACCAGUGGCGAAGGCGGCUCGCUGGACAAGUAUUGACGCUGAGGUGAGAAAGCGUGGGGAGCAAACAGG